rnacentral:misc_RNA from 1 species
AAAAAAAAAAAAAAAAAAAUCUUGGCCAUUCUCUUCUCUAAAUUUGUUUCGUCAGUUCUUUCUUGUUACGAAAUAGAGCUAUUAGAUCCUUGGGCAUGAUAGAAGACAUGCAAUCUCAAGAUCUUGUACAAAGGUUCACUAUCAUGAUGCAACAACUAAAGCAAACGCAAGAGGUUUUGUGGAAGGAAGCAGAGCAACACGACAUCAACUAGGUUUGGGAGAAAUUAAAUCCUUACUAGUAUAAAUUUGCGCAAUGUGAAGAUUAGUAGUAAUAUAAAUCAAGGUGAUUCUACAAGAGCAAAGGAAGAUUCAUUAGAGAAUUUGAGGAAUUUGAAACAAGAAUUUAACUUGCAAGAUUAUUAAAAUUCCUUUAAUCAGUUAUACUCAAAAGCAAGAGUUCAAGAAGAGCAAGCUUUGAAUUUUUUUCCUCAAUGGGCUAAUUGAUGAGUUGCAAUUGGCAGUGAGAAUGUUUAAGCCAAAAACAAUUGCAGAUGCUUACAAUCUGACUAAGUUGCAGGAGCUAACUGUAGCAACAAUUCAAAAUAAGUCCAAACCAUUCCUAAACCCACAACCUUUGUUAAGUCCGAAACUGAAGUUUUGAAGUUUGACGAAGUUGGGAAAAUUAGCAACCUUUCACUAGAUUCUACUGAUCAGAAAAUCUCAUAUGAUCAGUGUAACACCCCUGAUUUUUUUAUA